rnacentral:rRNA from 1 species
AGCGUACACGGUGGAUGCCCUGGCAGUCAGAGGCGAUGAAGGACGUGCUAAUCUGCGAAAAGCGCCGGUAAGGUGAUAUGAACCGUUAUAACCGGCGAUGUCCGAAUGGGGAAACCCGGUGCACUUCGGUGCAUCAUCGUUAGCUGAAUACAUAGGCUAACGAGGCGAACCGGGGGAACUGAAACAUCUAAGUACCCCGAGGAAAAGAAAUCAACCGAGAUUCCCCCAGUAGCGGCGAGCGAACGGGGAACAGCCCAGAGCCUGAAUCAGCUUGUGUGUCAGUGGAACGGUCUGGAAAGGCCGGCGAUACAGGGUGACAGCCCCGUACACGAAGGCACACAGGCUGUGAGCUCGAUGAGUAGGGCGGGACACGUGAUAUCCUGUCUGAAGAUGGGGGGACCAUCCUCCAAGGCUAAAUACUCCUGACUGACCGAUAGUGAACCAGUACCGUGAGGGAAAGGCGAAAAGAACCCCGGCGAGGGGAGUGAAACAGAACCUGAAACCGUGUACGUACAAGCAGUGGGAGCCUUCGUAAGAGGGUGACUGCGUACCUUUUGUAUAAUGGGUCAGCGACUUAUAUUCUGUAGCAAGGUUAACCGUAUAGGGGAGCCGAAGGGAAACCGAGUCUUAAUUGGGCGUUAAGUUGCAGGGUAUAGACCCGAAACCCGGUGAUCUAGCCAUGGGCAGGUUGAAGGUUGGGUAACACUAACUGGAGGACCGAACCGACUAAUGUUGAAAAAUUAGCGGAUGACCUGUGGCUGGGGGUGAAAGGCCAAUCAAACCGGGAGAUAGCUGGUUCUCCCCGAAAGCUAUUUAGGUAGCGCCUCGUGAACUCAUCUCCGGGGGUAGAGCACUGUUUCGGCUAGGGGGCCAUCCCGGCUUACCAACCCGAUGCAAACUGCGAAUACCGGAGAAUGUUAUCACGGGAGACACACGGCGGGUGCUAACGUCCGUCGUGAAGAGGGAAACAACCCAGACCGCCAGCUAAGGUCCCAAAGUCAUGGUUAAGUGGGAAACGAUGUGGGAAGGCCCAGACAGCCAGGAUGUUGGCUUAGAAGCAGCCAUCAUUUAAAGAAAGCGUAAUAGCUCACUGGUCGAGUCGGCCUGCGCGGAAGAUGUAACGGGGCUAAACCAUGCACCGAAGCUGCGGCAGCGACGCUUAUGCGUUGUUGGGUAGGGGAGCGUUCUGUAAGCCUGUGAAGGUGUGCUGUGAGGCAUGCUGGAGGUAUCAGAAGUGCGAAUGCUGACAUAAGUAACGAUAAAGCGGGUGAAAAGCCCGCUCGCCGGAAGACCAAGGGUUCCUGUCCAACGUUAAUCGGGGCAGGGUGAGUCGACCCCUAAGGCGAGGCCGAAAGGCGUAGUCGAUGGGAAACAGGUUAAUAUUCCUGUACUUGGUGUUACUGCGAAGGGGGGACGGAGAAGGCUAUGUCGGCCGGGCGACGGUUGUCCCGGUUUAAGCGUGUAGGCUGACUUUCCAGGCAAAUCCGGAAGGUUAAGGCUGAGGCGUGAUGACGAGGCACCACGGUGCUGAAGUGACAAAUGCCCUGCUUCCAGGAAAAGCCUCUAAGCAUCAGGUAACAUCAAAUCGUACCCCAAACCGACACAGGUGGUCAGGUAGAGAAUACCAAGGCGCUUGAGAGAACUCGGGUGAAGGAACUAGGCAAAAUGGUGCCGUAACUUCGGGAGAAGGCACGCUGACAUGUAGGUGAAGCCCCUGCGGGUGGAGCUGAAGUCAGUCGAAGAUACCAGCUGGCUGCAACUGUUUAUUAAAAACACAGCACUGUGCAAACACGAAAGUGGACGUAUACGGUGUGACGCCUGCCCGGUGCCGGAAGGUUAAUUGAUGGGGUUAUCGCAAGAGAAGCUCCUGAUCGAAGCCCCGGUAAACGGCGGCCGUAACUAUAACGGUCCUAAGGUAGCGAAAUUCCUUGUCGGGUAAGUUCCGACCUGCACGAAUGGCGUAAUGAUGGCCAGGCUGUCUCCACCCGAGACUCAGUGAAAUUGAACUCGCUGUGAAGAUGCAGUGUACCCGCGGCAAGACGGAAAGACCCCGUGAACCUUUACUACAGCUUGACACUGAACAUUGAGCCUUGAUGUGUAGGAUAGGUGGGAGGCUUUGAAGCGUGGACGCCAGUCUGCGUGGAGCCGACCUUGAAAUACCACCCUUUAAUGUUUGAUGUUCUAACCUGGCGCCGUGA